ACAAAUGAAAUCAAGGAAAUUCAUUUCUACAUGGUAUCAGCUUUCUUAGAUCCUAGAGUUUCAGUUUUCUUACCUGUGAUGUGUCAUUCUUCUUCUUCUUCUUUUGUCUAUCUUCAGUCUCUUCCUCCUUGUCCUCCAUUCCGAAUCCUAGUAUUACAAAUUUCGUUAAAUUAUCUUAUUCUAACUAUCCCAUAUGGCUUCGUCAAAUUAUCUCUUUUCUUCAUGAAGAUUAGAAGAAAUUAGACAUUUAAGUAACUUCUUCUUUCUAAUUUUACCAUUUUUUUUAGGAAUAAAAUGGAUAAACAUUAUGUUAAAUAAUAUUUGAUGCUCAUAAUUUUCUAGUCAUUGAACCUAGCCAUUUUAUAUAUUCCUUUUCUAACCAUUGUACUUAGUUGUUGACCCUAAAACUACCAAGAAUACGUGGCACGCAGGCCGAGCAACGAAUAAGCUAACUACGUCAUUCGGUUGUGUACGGGGCGUGCCAACUCGUUGACCGAGUUUGGCCGGGGAGUCAAGUAUGUUGAUGUCACGUUGGGCGCACUGUUGACUUCUUGAUCUUCCGAUUGCGGCCGAGGAAGGAACACGCCUCGACCUUUGAGUUCUAGAGCUUGAAGACAAAGCUACUAGUUUCUUCGAAGUUCACGAAUCGUUGGCGCCGGGUUCGGUCUCGGUAAUUAUAUUCGUGAGAGUAUAAGUACGCUGAACUGGUACCAAACUGUAUGAACACAAAUACUCGAAAGAAAUAAAUGUCUUGAUUGUAAAUGUGGUUAGGCCAUCGGAAUGCCGAACUCUAAAAUGUACUUGCAAAUAUCCAAUCAUAAAAAAAUACUCGACUUUCAAUGUGCCGAGCCUAGUAACCUGUAACACCUCACUUCACCAAGAAGGCUGAUGAGAUGACCUCUACUAACAAAGAAUCGAAAAUCCUUGUUGACCGAGACUUGGAUAUAUAACCAGUCGGUCUCGAAGCAGAUUAGCAAUGCUGUUUAUCCAAACUAAAGAUGCUCCUUAGUUGGCUGAUUUUACUGCUCUAAUGCUGUUUAUUCAAACUGAAGAUGUCGUCGGUUGCCUUCACAAUGCUGUUUAUCCAAACUAAAGAUGUGUUGGCGAGAAAAAAGGGGGAGAGAAAAAAAUCUCAAGGUUGUUGAGAAGCUUUGUGUAGAACAAUUUGUGUGUUGAUUUGAAGGGGCAUUGAAUGAUACACUCCCUUCUCUAUUUAUAACAGCAAACUUCCUUCAUGGUCGAACUAGAAAUGUACUCGAAUUAGAACUCCUCAACCCAAUCUGAUCAGGUUUCAACCAAUCCUAACCCUUAUAGGAUUUUGAACCAAGCUCCUUAACAAACCAGAUUCAUCCCCUAAUUCUAAGCAUCUUCAGCUUUAAGACUCCUUGUUGCACUAGGGUUCGACUACCUCACAUUUAUCUAAACCAAUCCUUCUAGCAACAUAAUUUGGCCGAUUUUGACUAGACAACCCAUGACAAGAUUCUAGAUGAAUGUUAUUGGGCCGAGAACAACUCUACACUCGGCCCAAAAUAUUAUUUUGGGCCCAAACACUAGCCCAUUGUAUAUUCCUUUGUAGUUUCCAAUGAGUCUCUAUCCAUACGAAAAAUAUAUUGUACUCUUUGCACACAAAUGAAAUCAAGGGAAUUCAUUUCUACAUGGUAUCAGCUUUCUUAGAUCCUAGAGUUUCGGUUUUCUUACUUGUGAUUGUGUCAUUAUUCUUCUUCUUCUUUUGCCUAUCUUCUGUUUGUCAUGGCCUUUUCCUCAUUGUCCUCCAUUCUGAAUCCCAGCAUUACAAACUUCGUUAAAUUAUCUUAUUCUAACUAUCUCAUAUGGCUCCGUCAAAUUAUCUCUUUUCUUCAUGAAGAUUAGAAGAAAUUAGACAUUUAAGUAACUUCUUCUUUCUAAUUUUACCAUUUUUUUAGAGGAUUAAAAUGGAUAAACAUUAUGUUAAAUAAUAUUAAAUGUUCAUAAGUUUCUAGUCAUUGAACCUAGCCAUUGUAUAUAUUCCUUUUCUAACCAUUCUACCUAGCCCUAUUGUAUAUUCCUUUGUAGUUUCCAAUGAAUCUCUAUCCAUACGAAGAAUAUAUUGUACUCUUUACACACAAAUGACAUCAAGGAAAUUCAUUUGUACAUACUAUUAGCUUUUUUAGACUCUAGGGUUUCGGUUUUCUUACCUGUGAUCAUGUCAUUCUUCUUCAUAUGUCCAUCUUCUGUUUGUCAUGGCCUCUUUCUCCUCGUCCUCUAUUCCAAAUCCCACCAUCACAAACUUCGUCAAACUAUCUCAUUCUAACUAUCUCAAAUG
rnacentral:lncRNA from 1 species